rnacentral:rRNA from 1 species
AUUGAACGCUGGCGGCAGGCCUAACACAUGCAAGUCGAACGAGUGGCGGACGGGUGAGUAAUGACUGGGCAACUGCCUGAUGGAGGGGGAUAACUACUGGAAACGGUAGCUAAUACCGCAUACCAUCAGAUGUGCCCAGGUGGGAUUAGCUUGUUGGUGGGGUAACGGCUCACCAAGGCGACGAUCCCUAGCUGGUCUGCGAGGAUGACCGGGCACACUGGAACUGAGACAAGGUCACGACUCCGACGGGAGGCAGCAGAGGGGAAUAUUGCACAAUGGGCGCAAGCCUGAUGCAGCCAUGCCGCGUGUAUGAAGAAGGCUUUCGGGUUGUAAAGUACUUUCAGCGGGGAGGCGUUACCCGCAGAAGAAGCACCGGCUAACUCCGUGCCAGCAGCCGCGGUAAUUC